GCUCCGCAUACUUUGUGGAGCACAGAAGCUUGACAAUGAGGGGAGACAACAGAUAAAAUCCCUAAAAGACUGAAGAUGAUAGAUUCUGACUGCAUUGAGUGCCCUUUGUUGUCAGCAGAUGCUAAUUCCCAGUGCCCAGGAUUUGAUACUAUGUUAGCUAUUGUUGAAGCAGCCAAUUCCUUAAAUUCUAGUGAAUCAUUCUGAUUUUCAAAAAGAAUGUCUGUAAGAGCUGGAAGUACAGAAGACUCAACAAGAAUGGUUGCAUUAUCAUCCAAACUUGACAGGUUAUACAACGCUUGCAAACUAGGUGCCCUUCCUUCAGGCUUAGACAGUAAUUCAACUAGUAUUUUAGCACUUUGCUGUGCUAUCUGUUCUUUACUGCCAU
rnacentral:misc_RNA from 1 species